UACGAAGGGGGCGAGCGUUGUUCGGAUUUACUGGGCGUAAAGGGCGCGCAGGCGGCUCAUUUUGUCAGGCGUGAAAGCCCCGGGCUUAACCUGGGAACUGCAUUUGAUACUCUGGAGCUUGAGUACGGGAGAGGAUAGUGGAAUUCCCAGUGUAGAGGUGAAAUUCGUAGAUAUUGGGAAGAACACCGGUGGCGAAGGCGGCUAUCUGGACCGUAACUGACGCUGAGGCGCGAAAGCGUGGGGAGCAAACAGG
rnacentral:rRNA from 1 species